GACGAAAGAUGGUGGAGGGCGGAACACAUGCAAGUCGAACGGAAAGGCCCUGCUUUUGUGGGGUGCUCGAGUGGCGAACGGGUGAGUAACACGUGAGUAACCUGCCCUUGACUUUGGGAUAACUUCAGGAAACUGGGGCUAAUACCGGAUAGGAGCUCCUGCUGCAUGGUGGGGGUUGGAAAGUUUCGGCGGUUGGGGAGGGACUCGCGGCUUAUCAGCUUGUUGGUGGGGUAGUGGCUUACCAAGGCUUUGACGGGUAGCCGGCCUGAGAGGGUGACCGGCCACAUUGGGACUGAGAUACGGCCCAGACUCCUACGGGAGGCAGCAGUGGGGAAUAUUGCACAAUGGGCGGAAGCCUGAUGCAGCAACGCCGCGUGCGGGAUGACGGCCUUCGGGUUGUAAACCGCUUUCGCCUGUGACGAAGCGUGAGUGACGGUAAUGGGUAAAGAAGCACCGGCUAACUACGUG
rnacentral:rRNA from 1 species